GGGAACGUGCCCUUUGGUACGGAACAACUGAGGGAAACUUCAGCUAAUACCGUAUGUGCCCUUCGGGGGAAAGAUUUAUCGCCAUUGGAGCGGCCCGCGUUAGAUUAGCUAGUUGGUAGGGUAAUGGCCUACCAAGGCGACGAUCUAUAGCUGGUCUGAGAGGAUGAUCAGCCACACUGGGACUGAGACACGGCCCAGACUCCUACGGGAGGCAGCAGUAGGGAAUCUUGCGCAAUGGGCGAAAGCCUGACGCAGCCAUGCCGCGUGAAUGAUGAAGGUCUUAGGAUUGUAAAAUUCUUUCACCGGGGACGAUAAUGACGGUACCCGGAGAAGAAGCCCCGGCUAACUUCGUGCCAGCAGCCGCGGUAAUACGAAGGGGGCUAGCGUUGCUCGGAAUUACUGGGCGUAAAGGGAGCGUAGGCGGAUAGUUUAGUCAGAGGUGAAAGCCCAGGGCUCAACCUUGGAAUUGCCUUUGAUACUGGCUAUCUUGAGUAUGGAAGAGGUAUGUGGAACUCCGAGU
rnacentral:rRNA from 1 species